CCAUCUUUUGUAUCUUUGCAUCUACUGGAUGCCUUAACAAAAUCUCACUUAUUUCAUUAAAAAAAGCACCCCGUCUUGCUGUUGAGUAGCUAUGCUUUUGGGCUGGACAGACUAGUUGAGGUAUGUGUGAGCUAGCCAAGAUAUAAAAUAUACUGACAUCCCGUGGUCGGUAAAUUAAUACUUCUUUUUAAAAAAAUGAUAAUUGCAAAACCCUAAGUUAUCUCUUUCACUUUUAAACCUCUCACUCCUCUCUCACGCUACGCCCACCCCCACCCAUCCCGACCCACCCUCACCCGGCUCCCACCCCCACUAAUUCCCGAUCGGCGCUGCCUCGAUCAGUAACAGGUCACGCCACCAUCCCCGACCAGCGCAACAGGAGGUCGCAGCAGUAAGAGGUCGUGCCCAGCAGCAGCAGCAGGUCGCAGCAGCAGCGCGGAGGGCGAUGAGGUGAGGUGUCAUGUGUUUAUAAUGAAAUAUCUUCCUAGAGAGGAAGACUAGUGCGAGAUCAAGCAUCCUUAUUUUCUUUUUACUAGUUUGGAAUAGUAGGUAUCCCUGCUACAUUGUUUUUUUUCUUUAUAGUUAUCAUAGGGUCUUGAAUGUUAAGUUACACAUAUCUAUUUUUUCUCGGUGUUGAAAUCUUAACCUUUCCAGCAUUGUCCAUUCAAAGUGAUUUUCUUGAUGGAGUAAAUUAAUUGAGAUAUAAUGGAUGAGAGUUUCAUUUGAUGAUGAAUUUUAUGACUGCAAUCUGUUUUGUAUGCCUUGUUUUGGUAUUGGCUCCAUGUUACUUGGGGAAAUUUGAAGUACUCUGUUGUUGUGAUCUUAAAAGUGCUUGUGUUGAAGUUUUCAGGUUCAACAUUUACUGUAAAGUACUUCUUAUACAAAUUUAUCUCAUCACUCAUGCACUAGCGAAUCCUGGCUUAAGCUAUCAUACAUAGUUUCAUUAACUCACGCAGUGAGUCUUGAUUUAGUAGAGAUUACAGAGUAAUACAUUUUACUCUACUGUAGGCGGACAUAUUAUUGCGUGGUUACUUUGGUUGGAACUCAAGGCGUGCUAUACAUGUCCUUGUUCAAGUGUUUCCAAAGGUAUUGCAUCUUGCUCCCCAAUAUCUCUGAAUGGUCAAUGCAUGUGAAUGUUAAAGUAUAGCUUGUUAGAUUAGAUGCUCUCUCUACCUUACUUCUUCUUUUAUUAUCAGUUAAAAGACUGCUUAAUACUGUUGUGUGAACAAUCAUUUUCCCCAAGAAAUAGUCCUAUUUGCGUUAGAACUUAGCUACCCUUUUUGGUUCAUAUCAUCUGACUAUCAGAACAUUAUCAAUAUCUUCUUGAAUUUUUAUUGUGGAGAGCUUUUAAGAAUUGAGAAUAUCCUGUAGAAACUUACUUGUUUUCUUUAUAAAGAUAUCUCAUCUGGACAUCUGGUAUUGCAAGACAUCUCCUAUAUACUAACUUUUGACUUCUGAAAAUGGUGUUUUUCCUCUUCUAGGAUGCAACUGUUCAGCCUACAUUUGUGAUUGUUUACUUUGGUGGUAAUGAUUCAAUGGGACCUCAUUCAUUGGUGAUUGUUUACUUUGGUGAUUUUAUUGCAAGAUCGAUUUGUGUCCAUCUAGUGUUGAUACUAAGCUUUAAUUUAGGAAUAAUGUGUUUGUUUAACGUAAGUACCUACACUAGUUGACCCUAUUGAUGACAAAAUUAAUUUUCUUGCAAGAUCGAUUUGUGUCCAUCUAGUGUUGAUAUUAAGCUUUAAUUUAGGAAUAAUGUGUUUGUUAAGCAUAAGUACCAACACUAGUUGAUCCUAUUGAUGACAAAAUUGAUUUUCUCGCAAGAUUGAUUUGUGUCCAUCUAGUUUUGAUAAUAAGAUUUAAUUUAGGAAUAAUGUGUUUGUUAAGCGUAUGAACCAACACUAGUUGAUCCUAUUGAUGACAAAAUUGAUUUUCUUGCAAGAUCGAUUUGUGUCCAUCUAGUGUUGACACUUAGCUUUAAAUUUAGAAAUAAUAUAUUUGUUAAGCAUAAGUACCAACACUAGUUGAUCCUAUUGAUGACAAAAUUGAUUUUCUUGCAAGAUCGAUUUGUGUCCAUCUAGUGUUGACACUUAGCUUUAAAUUUAGAAAUAAUAUAUUUGUUAAGCAUAAGUACCAACACUAGUUGAUCCUAUUGAUGACAAAAUUGAUUUUCUUGCAAGAUCGAUUUGUGUCCAUCUAGUGUUGACACUUAGCUUUAAAUUUAGAAAUAAUAUAUUUGUUAAGCAUAAGUACCAACACUAGUUGAUCCUAUUGAUGACAAAAUUGAUUUUCUUGCAAGAUCGAUUUGUGUCCAUCUAGUGUUGACACUUAGCUUUAAAUUUAGAAAUAAUAUAUUUGUUAAGCAUGAGUACCAACACUAGUUGAUCCUAUUGAUGACAAAAUUGAUUUUCUUGCAAGAUCGAUUUGUGUCCAUCUAGUGUUGACACUUAGCUUUAAAUUUAGAAAUAAUAUAUUUGUUAAGCAUAAGUACCAACACUAGUUGAUCCUAUUGAUGACAAAAUUGAUUUUCUUGCAAGAUCGAUUUGUGUCCAUCUAGUGUUGACACUUAGCUUUAAAAAGUUGUCAAGUUGUUAAAGUUAUAAAGUUGUUAAGUUGUUUAAAUAAGUUAAAUUAAUUAAUGUGGUUUUGUUGAUGGAUUUAGUUGUUGGAAUUAAGUCAAAACUAAACUAGUUCAAGAGUUAAAGUUGUUUAAAUAGGUUAAAUUAAUUAAUGGGGUUUAGUUAGUGGAUUUAGUUGUUGGAAUUAAGUUAAAACUAGUUAGAGUUAAAGUUGUUUACUCGUUUAUAAAAGUUCAAAUAAAUAAUGUGGUUUAGUUGGUGGAUUUAGUUGUUGGAAUUAAGUCAAAACUAAUGUAGUUAAAGUUAAAAAGUUAAGUUUGUUUAAAUAAGUUAAAAUAAAUAAUGUCGGUUUAGUUAGUGAAUUUAGUUGUUGGAAUUAAGUCAAAACUAAUGUAGUUAGCUUAGUUAUUGAAAUAAGUUCAAAUAAAUAAUGUGGUUUAGUUGGUGGAUUUAGGUUUUGGAAUUAAGUCAAAUCUAGUUAGAGUUAAAGUUGUUUAAAUAAUUUGAAAUAAAUAAUGUUGUUUUGUUGGCGGAUUUAGUUGUUGGAAUUAGGUUAAAACUAGUUAGCGUUAAAGUUGUUUAGUUGUAUAAAUAAGUUCAAAUAAAUAAUGUGGUUUAGUUGGUGGAUUUAGUUAUUGGAAUUAAGUCAAAACUAAACUAGUUAAAGUUGUUAAGCUGUUUAAAUAAGUUAAAUUAAAUAAUGUGGUUUUGUUGAUGGAUUUAGUUGUUGGAAUUAAGUCAAAACUAAUGUAGUUAAAGUUAAAAAGUUAUUAGAGUUAAAGUUGUUUAAAUAAGUUCAAAUAUAUAAUGUGGUUUAGUUGGUGGAUUUAGUUUUUGGAAUGAAGUCAAAACUAGUUAGAGUUAUAGUUUUUUAGUUGUUUAAAUAAGUUCAAAUAAAUAAUGUGGUUUAGUUGGUGGAUUUAGUUGUUGUUGUUGUUGUUAUUUUUCAGUUGGUAUAGUGAAAUUAUAAAUUGUGUUAAUUUAUCAUAUUAUUUAUAGUUUUCACCAUAAAAAUGCUAAACGCCAUAUACUUAUCUCGAUUACCUCCGGAACCAAACCAAAGGUCAUUCUAGACCAAGCUUUGCUUUCUAGAGCUAACUACUUUGACAAAAUUCCAGUUCGAGCACGUUUACCAAGAAAGCUGACCAAGGUCAAACUUUGGCAAAAUAAAAAAGCUAAAAUGCCUAAUCGUACAUACUCCAAACAGAAGCCUCGAAACCCAAACCAAACAUCACACUAAACCAAAAGGACCCAUCCGUAGCUGAUGGAACUGAUAGAAUCUUGAUCCGACAUCAGAAUCUUCGGAUGUUGACAAAAGUCAACUCUUUCAUGCAUUAAACCUCCAAAAUUGAAAAACUUGCACCAACGAUUGUGUGUCCUGAUCAUACUCAUACUUAGAUUGUAUCAUUUCAUAAUUCGUAUUUUUGGUGUUGCUAUGUUCAUUUUGACCAACUUGAACCUGUACCUCUUCCCCCUUAUUCUCUUCUCUCCUUGCUGCUUGUUGUUGCCUUCUUUUGAUCGCAUCUCUCCUCUUUUUGCUUAGUUUGCCCUGAGAUUUGUUGUUGAUAGUUUGCCAUUGGUUUGUGCCCUCACUGUGUUGUAUGUUUUGUUCCUAUUCUCUUUAAUGAACAUUCUUUUUUCUGAUUCUUUUUCUGAGUGUUAUGAGAAGUAUUAAGAUUACCCUGUUGAUCAUUCUAUUUACUGUGUCCCUAACCAGAAACCUUUCCCAGAUGGAUGAGCUGAUUGUGCUGGUUCUCUUGUGUGGUCUGAUGAGAAAUGGUAGUAGAAUCUCUAGGGUCUUUCUUAAGGUCACUGUGUAAAUUCUCAUGUACAUCAUGAUGCAGAAACCCCCCUUUGGAUACCCCUUCCUACAAGCUAGUAAUGUUCUCCUUCAACCCUCCAUCCAACACUCCAACAACUUCCACAACAGUUAAACAAUUAUCUAAAGGGGUGAGGGGUAAUGGGAGCAUUGAUUCAAUACCUGUGAUCUUAGAGGCCUUGUUAUUUCCUUCUUUGUUCAUACUUGCAAGUACAUUAGGCAUAGAGGGAGGAUUUUGGGAUAUAGGGGUUGGUAACAUAUAAUCGGUUGAAAAUGUAGGCACCAGAUCAGAACCAUUUAUUAUUGUAGUAAUGAAGUGCUUUCCUGACUCUUCCAACUCCCACCUCAUACAGGCGGCUGCACAACACUAACACAGUAAGGAUAAGGGAAGGAAAAACACAUCAGGACAUUGGAAUUCAUAGGCAAAGAUGUAAGAGAUGCAAAUUUAUCAAGAAGACACUGGAAAUGUAUCUGAUAUUAAAAUUGUAGGCACGACACAAAAUGGAAAAGAAACUAUGAUAUUAUACAGCCCCAACAUAUCCAAAAUCAUUAGAGUAGCACUUCUAGAACACAAGUCAUUUCCUCAAUUUUAUAAAUACCAAAAAAUCAAAAUGACAGAAUCAAUAGAUCACCACACGAAUAAAGAUUGAAUAACUGGUGCAAAUAGUUUAGAGUACUAAACUACUAAUAGAACAUAAAAAUAAUUACAAAGCCUAAACCAGGUAGAGAAGUCCACUUCUUUCCUUAUAUAGGACCACAAUUAAGUAAAGGAGAUUGAAGAUUUCACUUUCUUCCUGGUUAAGGGAUAGAGAUGUAGACUUUUUCAAGAAUUUCACUUGUUUGCCUGUGUUUUAUCAGCCGCUGCCUCGUCUUCAUGAUGAUUUUUUGCUGUACCUGGACUGUUUGGCAGAUCUGGUUCAACAAGAUCAAUAUAAGAAUUAUGAGUAAUAAUAUUUUUACCUGUAUGACUGUGACUUUUCUGGGAAUUUCUUGUGCGGCUUCAGUUAAGUUUGUUUAAUAUUCCUGUGCUUAACUCAAGAUAGUUAAAUAUGAGUCUAAUCUAUGUUAGCAGACCUAACCAACAGUUACUGAGAAUGUGCUUACCAAAGUUGGCUUUAUUCUUAAAGAGUACCAAUUUGGUGAAGUACCUCUGGCUACUUCAAUUGUUAUAUUCAAGAAGCAAAUAUUAGUUGUUGCUAAAGCAUUUCUAAUACAAAAUACCUUGUCUGAAUUUCCAAAAAUUAUGAACCAAUUACAAAUCGAAGUUGCAGAUGUCAGAUGGCUGCCCGUGCUUUACAUAGAGCUUUACUUAGGGUCGAUUACAAUUCUUUGAUUCUAUUUUGUUGUCCUUUGCCUACUCUCUUUUUGGUUCUUUGACUUAGCUACACCAGUAUUUCUCAAAAUUAUAGAUCAUGUGUACUUCUAGUUGUCUUUUUGCUAAUCAAAACCAAUCUUUGAGACAAUUUCCAUGUUUCUUUGAGAUGUAAGAAUUGUAGAGCUAUUAUUUGUUUGAGAGCUUCUAGUCCAAAGUACAACCAUAAGAUAACAUCCACUGUUUCCCUUGAACCAAAUUGAUUAUGUUUUUCCUUGGUUUCUGAUUAGAGACCGUGUUCUGGAAGUCUUAUAUUGUUUGACCAAAUUGAUUAAUAUGCAUUCACAUUACAAUAAACAACAUACACAAUGUGAAUGCAUAUUAAUGCUAUCACACUGUUAGUUGCAUUAUAAGAUGUUUGUUUCUUUGUCCUAGAACCAUAUGUUUGUUUUGUUGAAGCAAUCACGUAUCUUCCUUUUUUUUUAUCUUCCUUCUAGAAAUCUGGCACACUUAUGUAUUCAAUGAAACGUUAAGUUUUGUAUUUCGUGAAGUAUCAAAAUAAUCAAUUUAAUGUUUUUUCUUAGGCUAACAUGAUCAAGAAGACUGGAACUACCGUAGUUGGCACAAAUAAAAAGAAGUGGGUAUGUUUGAAAAAAACUACAAGAUCUUUCUUUUCUUUCAAAAGGAGAAAAAUUUCAUGUAUAUAAUUACUGCUUUUGCAUCAAUUUUUUAAUAUUUGUGUUGAAAAAUUCAAUUAGUCCCUUUUUAUAUCCCAAAUUGUUCUAGUUAAUGGGGAUCUAAUUUCUAUUAUUAUAUAGCUAUAGAUUUUCUUAUGUGCAUUUCUUGUGCAGAUUUUUUAAGGAAAUUGAGGUCAAGUAUCGACUUCAACAUGCUCGACUUUUGGAUUGAUGAUUUCAUAAAGAUUUAUUGCAAAUUUACUGGAGAUUUUAAUUCCAUUUUAAUUAGGAGUUAAUUAGUUGGUUUUAUGUUGAGAUUAUUACAUUUAGUUAGAUCUCAAUUUUACUUGAGAUAGAAAAGAUAAUUUGUGUUGACAUUGCUUACUUCUACAGAAAACUUAUUAUAUUUCUAUUUUGUUAUUUGAUUAUAAUAUUAGAAAAUAUUUGCUUUAUAUAAUAUUUCUUGCUUAUCAUGAAGAAGAUAGUUUUGAAUGCACGGAUUGUUUGUAUGUA
rnacentral:lncRNA from 1 species